GACGAAGGAUGCAAGCGUUAUCCGGAUUCAUUGGGUUUAAAGGGAGCGUAGGCGGACUUAUAAGUCAGUGGUGAAAUCUCCGAGCUUAACUCGGAAACUGCCAUUGAUACUGUAAGUCUAGAGUACAGUUGCCGUUGGCGGAAUAUGACAUGUAGUGGUGAAAUACUUAGAUAUGUCAUAGAACACCGAUUGCGAAGGCAGCUAACGAAGCUGUAACUGACGCUGAGGAGCGAAAGCGUGGGGAGCGAACAGG
rnacentral:rRNA from 1 species